UGGAACGAGCGGCGGACGGGUGAGUAACACGUGGGCAACCUGCCUGUAAGACCGGAAUAACCCCGGGAAACCGGGGCUAAUGCCGGGUAACACCUACCUUCGCAUGAAGGAAGGUUAAAAGAUGGCUUCUUGCUAUCACUUACAGAUGGGCCCGCGGCGCAUUAGCUAGUUGGUGAGGUAACAGCUCACCAAGGCGACGAUGCGUAGCCGACCUGAGAGGGUGAUCGGCCACACUGGGACUGAGACACGGCCCAGACUCCUACGGGAGGCAGCAGUAGGGAAUCUUCCGCAAUGGACGAAAGUCUGACGGAGCAACGCCGCGUGAACGAUGAAGGUCUUCGGAUCGUAAAGUUCUGUUGUUAGGGAAGAACAAGUACCGUGCGAAUAGAGCGGUACCUUGACGGUACCUAACGAGGAAGCCCCGGCUAACUACGUGCCAGCAGCCGCGGUAAUACGUAGGGGGCAAGCGUUGUCCGGAAUUAUUGGGCGUAAAGCGCGCGCAGGCGGUUUCUUAAGUCUGAUGUGAAAGCCCACGGCUCAACCGUGGAGGGUCAUUGGAAACUGGGGAACUUGAGGACAGAAGAGGAGAGUGGAAUUCCACGUGUAGCGGUGAAAUGCGUAGAUAUGUGGAGGAACACCAGUGGCGAAGGCGACUCUCUGGUCUGUUUCUGACGCUGAGGUGCGAAAGCGUGGGUAGCAAACAGGAUUAGAUACCCUGGUAGUCCACGCCGUAAACGAUGAGUGCUAGGUGUUAGGGGGCUUCCACCCCUUAGUGCUGAAGUUAACGCAUUAAGCACUCCGCCUGGGGGAGUACGGCCGCAAGGCUGAAACUCAAAGGAAUUGACGGGGGCCCGCACAAGCGGUGGAAGCAUGUGGGUUUAAUUCGAAGCAACGCGAAGAAACCUUACCAGGGUCUUGACAUCCUUGGGACCACCCUAAGAAGAUAGGGGUCUUCCCUUUCGGGGGACCAAGUGGAC
rnacentral:rRNA from 1 species